UUAGUUAAUAUUUGCUGUAAUGGUUGAUUCAUAGGUUGGUGUGCCUUUUGCCUCAUGCUAGGGUGAGUUUGUGACUGAGUGUUUUAUACCGAAACUGUCAGAUCUCUUGCCCGGUUGUGGGGGUCAACGCGAGUUGCUGUCUAAACCGGGUGGGUGAGGUGAUAAAUUAGUCGUUGGCAGUUAUAGCUGUUUUGUGGGUCUAAUUUCAGUUUAGUGCGAGAGUGAUAAGAUUUUUGCAGGGGCUAUAUACGGUGUAUUCGCUUUGUGGCUAGGGUUAAGGUUACCUCCGCGUUGGAAGUGUGUUAAUACUUGCGUUGGUAGUGUGUAUUAUAUUAGUGCGAGAUCCCACAGCGGAACCUUUAUGUAAUUUAUGCUUUAAUGAGUAAUUAUAAUGGUUUUAAUCUAUCUCGGAUUCAGCCCACCUGUUUAUUAAAAACAUCUCUGCCCAGCUAAUGAUGGGCAGUAAAGCCUGCCCGGUGUUUAUAUUAACGGCCGCAGUAUUAUGACUGUGCGAAGGUAGCAUAAUUAAUUGCCCCAUAAUUGGGGGCUUGUUUGAAUGGUUUCAUGCGGUUGAUGUCAAGAUUAGGGCCUUACAUGAAAUUAAUGCCAUGAGUACAGAAUCUCUGUUUAUUAGUUAGACGGAAAGACCCCAGGAUCUUUAAUUUUGUUUGGGGCAAAUUGGGUUCCUUUAACUCAUUUUUGACCCGUGGAUUACAGGUUUAAGUUACCCUGGGGAUAACAGGGUUAUAGUCCCCUAGAGGUCUUAUCGAUGGGACUGUUUGCCACCUCGAUGUUGACUUGGGAGUGCCCGGCGGUGCAGUAGUUGCCGGGUGAGGUCUGUUCGACCUUAUAUCCCUCAUGAGUUGAGUUAAGACCGGCGUGAGCCAGGUCGGUUCUUAUCUACUGGUGUUGUGUGGUAGUACGAAAGGACCCCCCACAAUUUUUUU
rnacentral:rRNA from 1 species